GACCUCCAGUCAAGUAAGAAUACCCG
rnacentral:rRNA from 1 species